GCUGAACUUAAGCAUAUCAAUAAGCGGAGGAAAAGAAACCAACCGGGAUUGCCUUAGUAACGGCGAGUGAAGCGGCAAAAGCUCAAAUUUGAAAUCUGGUACCUUCGGUGCCCGAGUUGUAAUUUGUAGAAGGUAACUUUGGGGCUGGUCCUUGUCUAUGUUCCUUGGAACAGGACGUCAUAGAGGGUGAGAAUCCCGUGUGGCGAGGAUCCCAGUUCUUUGUAAAGUGCUUUCGAAGAGUCGAGUUGUUUGGGAAUGCAGCUCUAAGUGGGUGGUAAAUUCCAUCUAAAGCUAAAUAUUGGCGAGAGACCGAUAGCGAACAAGUACAGUGAUGGAAAGAUGAAAAGAACUUUGAAAAGAGAGUGAAAAAGUACGUGAAAUUGUUGAAAGGGAAGGGCAUUUGAUCAGACAUGGUGUUUUGCGCCCUCUGCUCCUUGUGGGUGGGGGAAUCUCGCAGCUCACUGGGCCAGCAUCAGUUUUGGCGGCAGGAUAAAUCUGCAGGAAUGUAGCUUGCCUCGGUAAGUGUUAUAUCCUGUAGAAAUACUGCCAGCUGGGACUGAGGACUGCGACUUUACGUCAAGGAUGCUGGCAUAAUGGUU
rnacentral:rRNA from 1 species